rnacentral:lncRNA from 10 species
UAGAACCGUGACUGCAGCUGAACAGGAAGAAACAGGUCUCAAGUGCUUAUUCUAUCCCAAGGAAAUCAGGGCUCUGUUAAUAAGGAAGAAGAGAAUGAGAAGACAACUAACAAUCUUUGCUACAAUUGCUAAGCAAAAGGCACUUGAACACCUUCCACAGAAGAGGCAGACAUGAAAGAAAUGAAAGGUUCAAAAAUGGAAAAAUCACGGCAUAAAAGGUUGAGAGGAGAACAAUGCAACUGAACAAUGAAGAUAAAUAUAAAUAAUUCUUAAAUGUCUAGAUUCCUGGAAGAGGAGCAGUGUACCUUCUACAUAUGGCCAUGGCA